UACGUAGGGUGCAAGCGUUGUCCGGAAUUAUUGGGCGUAAAGAGCUCGUAGGCGGUUCGUCGCGUCGGCUGUGAAAACCCGGAGCUCAACUCCGGGCCUGCAGUCGAUACGGGCGGACUUGAGUUCGGCAGGGGAGACGUGGAAUUCCUGGUGUAGCGGUGAAAUGCGCAGAUAUCAGGAGGAACACCGGUGGCGAAGGCGGGUCUCUGGGCCGAUACUGACGCUGAGGAGCGAAAGCGUGGGGAGCGAACAGG
rnacentral:rRNA from 1 species